rnacentral:misc_RNA from 1 species
UCCUAGUUAACCUAGGCAGUCUCACUAGAGUUCCCAGCUUUACCUGUUGGCAACUAAUGAUAAGGGUUGCGCUCGUUGCGGGACUUAACCCAACACCUCACGGCACGAGCUGACGACAGCCAUGCAGCACCUGUUCAGCGGCCAUUGCUGGCUAUGAUGUCUCCACCAUAUUCCACUGUAUGUCAAGCCUGGGUAAGGUUCUUCGCGUUGCAUCGAAUUAAACCACAUGCUCCACUGCUUGUGCGGGUCCCCGUCAAUUCUUUUAAGUUUCACUCUUGCGAGCGUACUCCUCAGGCGGUAUACUUAUCGCGUUAGCUUCGAUACAAUUAGGGUUGAGUCCAAUUACACCAAGUAUACAUCGUUUACGGCAAGGACUAC